rnacentral:rRNA from 1 species
AUGCCAACGGAAGUAGGAAGGGCAAAAAAUGGUGUCUUUAAAUACUUAAGAGAUAGAUUAUGGAAAAGGUUACAGGGGUGGAUUGAGCAGCUGCUAUCGGUUGUGGGAAAGGAAGUUUUGAUAAAAUCGGAGCAAGCUCUACCUACCUAUGCUAUGGGAUGUUUCAAACUUCCAAGAGGAUUGUGUGAGCACAUUGAUUCAUCUUUGAGGAAGUUUUGGUGGGGAGCAAGGGAUGGAGAGCGAAAAACUGCCUGGGUCUCUUGGAAGGAUAUGUGCCAAUCGAAAUUUUCGGGUGGUAUGGGAUUUAGGCAAAUGGAACUUUUCAACUUGGCCUUGUUAGCAAAGCAAGGAUGGAGAAUUUUGCAGGAACCAAACUCGCUAAGUGCUCAAAUCCUUAAGGUUGUGUACUUUCCGAAUUGUGAGUUUCUUGAAGCAGAAUUGGGGACUAGGCCUUCUCAAGUUUUGGGUGGUAUGGGAUAG